AUUGAACGCUGGCGGCAUGCCUUACACAUGCAAGUCGAACGGCAGCACGGGAGCAAUCCUGGUGGCGAGUGGCGAACGGGUGAGUAAUAUAUCGGAACGUGCCCAGUCGUGGGGGAUAACGUAGCGAAAGCUACGCUAAUACAGCAUACGAUCUAUGGAUGAAAGCGGGGGAUCGCAAGACCUCGCGCGAUUGGAGCGGCCGAGAUUAGAUUAGGUAGUUGGUGAGGUAAAGGCUCACCAAGCCGACGAUCUGUAGCUGGUCUGAGAGGACGACCAGCCACACUGGGACUGAGACACGGCCCAGACUCCUACGGGAGGCAGCAGUGGGGAAUUUUGGACAAUGGGCGCAAGCCUGAUCCAGCAAUGCCGCGUGCAGGAUGAAGGCCUUCGGGUUGUAAACUGCUUUUGUACGGAACGAAACGGUGAGCUCUAAUACAGUUUGCUAAUGACGGUACCGUAAGAAUAAGCACCGGCUAACUACGUGCCAGCAGCCGCGGUAA
rnacentral:rRNA from 1 species